UACGAGGGGUGCAAGCGUUGCUCGGAAUUAUUGGGCGUAAAGGGUAGGUAGGUGGUCUCAUUUGUCUGGGGUGAAAGCCUUGAGCUUAACUCAAGAAGUGCCCCGGAAACGGUGAGACUAGAGUCCUGGAGAGGGUCGUGGAAUUCCCAGUGUAGCGGUGAAAUGCGUAGAGAUUGGGAGGAACACCAGUGGCGAAGGCGGCGACCUGGACAGGUACUGACACUCAACUACGAAAGCGUGGGGAGCAAACAGG
rnacentral:rRNA from 1 species